rnacentral:rRNA from 1 species
GUCCACGCCGUAAACGAUGAGUGCUAGAUGUCGUGGGUAUUGACCCCUACGGCGUCGAAGCUAACGCGUUAAGCACUCCGCCUGGGGAGUACGGCCGCAAGGCUAAAACUCAAAGGAAUUGACGGGGGCCCGCACAAGCGGUGGAGCAUGUGGUUCAAUUCGACGCAACGCGCAGAACCUUACCUGGGUUAAAUCCACUGGAACCUUUCAGAGAUGGAGGGGGUGCCCUCGGGAAGUCAGUGAGACGGUGCUGCAUGGCUGUCGU